CUCGAUGUCGGCUCAUCACAUCCUGGGGCUGAAGUAGGUCCCAAGGGUAUGGCUGUUCGCCAUUUAAAGUGGUACGCGAGCUGGGUUUAGAACGUCGUGAGACAGUUCGGUCCCUAUCUGCCGUGGGCGCUGGAGAACUGAGGGGGGCUGCUCCUAGUACGAGAGGACCGGAGUGGACGCAUCACUGGUGUUCGGGUUGUCAUGCCAAUGGCACUGCCCGGUAGCUAAAUGCGGAAGAGAUAAGUGCUGAAAGCAUCUAAGCACGAAACUUGCCCCGAGAUGAGUUCUCCCUGAGACUUUAAGUCUCCUGAAGGAACGUUGAAGACGACGACGUUGAUAGGCCGGGUGUGUAAGCGCAGCGAUGCGUUGAGCUAACCGGUACUAAUGAACCGUGAGGCUUAACCUUACAACGCCGAAG
rnacentral:rRNA from 2 species